GAACCGGGCCCCGCCGCUCCCGGGCCGGGCUGGCUGCGCCGGGCGGGCCCGCUCUCCGGCCCGGGGUGUCCUUCCGUGAGGCGGCGGAGGCUGCGAGAACACGGCGGCUCGGGCAGGGCGGUGGGGAGGCUCGGGGGCCGGUAGCAGCGGGCCGCUCGGAUUGCCGGCCUUGGAACGAGUUGGAGCUGUGUAGCUGUAAGAGUAAUCUGCAGGAUCUGUUGGUGUUUUGCUACGAGAGGUAACCGAAAACCGGUCUGUACUAGAGUUUGGCUCUCGGCUUGAGCCGAAGUGUGUUGUACUAAGUCUGUAAAUAGUUCCUUUAAAACAAAAAACCCAAACAAAACCCAAACAGUUUCGCCAUAUGUUCUGAAGUUCUUCCUUUCGUUCUGUACACUGAGCCUAUGAACGGCUGGAGUUUGAUGAGGUCUUUCCCCUUCCCCCCCUUUCCAACCUCCCUUUAAGGAAAGUAAGGUACAGCUUAAAAAAUAACUCUGUUAAUUGAUUACAUUGUUAGGGCAAGAGCAUUAAAUGGCCUGGAGCAGGAUGGGGAUAUUUUUAAACCUUAAAAUUGAGACACGUAGUUAAAUGUCAAAUCUGCUAACAGUUGUAGUUAGUGUAGCCAUAUGUAACUGCUUCACUCUUCAUUGUUAUGGAGGAAGAAACACCUCCUCCCUCCCAAAAACACCCUGAAGCUUGACUGGGUUUAUACGUGCCUUGCUAUGUAGGUCAAGUUUCUCUUCUGUUUUGUUCCUCCUCACCAGCAGGAGGAAGCGAUUACAGUAUUUUGAUUUCUGCUGGAAACAAUGCGUGCAAGCGUUAUCAGCCCUUCGCCACUAGUUGUUUGUCUUGGGGCGAAUAAGCUGAUGCAGGUUACUGUUUAACCGCUUAAGGGCAGGCCUGGUAGGUGAAGGUUAAUAGCGGUGGGAAAGUUACCUGAGGAGCUUCAUGCUGCUUCAGCACCGUCAGUGUGAUCUGGGUUUCGGAGCUGCCCGCUCUUCUGCUGGAGAAGCGCAGUGCCCGCCUUGCUCCGCCUGUUCCUUCCCCGCCGAAACAAUCCGACACAAGCCUGCUGGCGCUGGGGGGAGCCUCGCCAGCUAGGAGGAGGAUUUGGGGUGGUCAGACGUGUUCUGACAAAGUUCCGCACGAUAAAUUACCCUCCACUUAAAUGGCAGUGGACAGGUUGUAACAUCAAAGUUUUGAGAGAUGAAGUUGGAGAACUCAGAAGAUGAAAACAGAAGCUGCGGUAGAAGAGGUCAGAUGUCAUGAAAAUAGCUUGCUCUGGGCUUUUUGUUUAGUCUUUUUCUUUUCAGAUGAAAUAACGGGAUUCUUAAUCCACGUUCUUCACCCGAGGGCGCUUCCUCACCAGUCCUGUGUGUUCUCCAUGUGUUUCAGCCCCCCGCUAGUUCUGGUUCAGCAGCAGCGCUGCACAGGCUCCCAGCUUGUGGGUGUCGUUUCUAACUGACGUGAUGUUGGAAUAAAGUUAUAAGCCUAUCAGCUCCUACUUAACCUGCGUACGAUAUACCUAAUGUUUAGCGUGUUAUCCAUUCAAAUAAAACUCUUCAAUUCUU